CUGCCCACCCCUCUGUCCCCGGUGGCUGCCCUCUCCUCCUGGGCUGCCUGUCUGGCCUGCCCCAGCCAAGGGAGGUGCACAAGGGACUCUUGCACAUCAUUGGUCUGAGAAGGUCUCCAUGCCCUUAAAGAGAAGGUGGAUUUUCUGCUGAGCCACCCGAGAAGCCCUUUUAUACCUCCUUACUCAACCAGCUGCCUGUGGCUCGCCAGUCAGUCCUGUCCGGCCAGCGGGACUCUGAUUUUCUCCUCCAGACUCGGAAAGAUGCUUUCAGAAAUUACUGUCACAAAUCUCUCUUUGUGACCAGACCAAAUAGCGCUGGGCCAGAAGUCCCCAGAUGCUGAGGCUCACAACCAUCUAAAGCAAGAUGUCUGAGUAAG